UGGGCGAAUUAGCACAAUCCAUGCUCUUUCUUUCUUAUCCGACCUUAAACUUGGACAUUACAUGAAAAUACCACCACGGUGCAUGUAUGUGGCUCAGGUAUUGCAGCUCUCAGAAACUUGCUCAGUUGAGCAUUGGAAAUUUUUACUUGUUAUUGUGAAACACUUAUAGUUUGGUGGUUGGUUUUCCCCAGUUGGUGGGAACUUUGGUCGCUGGAA
rnacentral:misc_RNA from 1 species